AACAGGAUUAGAUACCCUGGUAGUCCAUGCCGUAAACGAUGUCUACUAGCCGUUGGGGCCUUUGAGGCUUUAGUGGCGCAGCUAACGCGAUAAGUAGACCGCCUGGGGAGUACGGUCGCAAGACUAAAACUCAAAUGAAUUGACGGGGGCCCGCACAAGCGGUGGAGCAUGUGGUUUAAUUCGAUGCAACGCGAAGAACCUUACCUGGUCUUGACAUAGUAAGAACUUUCCAGAGAUGGAUUGGUGCCUUCGGGAACUUACAUACAGGUGCUGCAUGGCUGUUGUCAGCUCGUGUCGUGAGAUGUUGGGUUAAGUCCCGCAACGAGCGCAACCCUUUUCCUUAUUUGCCAGCACUUCGGGUGGGAACUUUAAGGAUACUGCCAGUGACAAACUGGAGGAAGGCGGGGACGACGUCAAGUCAUCAUGGCCCUUACGACCAGGGCUACACACGUGCUACAAUGGUCGGUACAAAGGGUUGCUACCUAGCGAUAGGAUGCUAAUCUCAAAAAGCCGAUCGUAGUCCGGAUUGGAGUCUGCAACUCGACUCCAUGAAGUCGGAAUCGCUAGUAAUCGCGGAUCAGAAUGCCGCGGUGAAUACGUUCCCGGGCCUUGUACACACCGCCCGUCACACCAUGGGAGUUUGUUGCACCAGAAGUAGGUAGUCUAACCGUAAGGAGGACGCUUACCACGGUGUGGCCGAUGACUGGGGUGAAGUCGUAACAAGGUAACC
rnacentral:rRNA from 1 species